rnacentral:rRNA from 10 species
AAAAACUUUCAACAACGGAUCUCUUGGUUCCAGCAUCGAUGAAGAACGCAGCGAAAUGCGAUAAGUAAUGUGAAUUGCAGAAUUCAGUGAAUCAUCGAAUCUUUGAACGCACAUUGCGCCCCUCGGUAUUCCGGGGGGCAUGCCUGUUCGAGCGUCAUUAC